rnacentral:misc_RNA from 1 species
GGAUGAAGAACGCAGCGAAAUGCGAUACGUAGUGUGAAUUGCAGAAUUCAGUGAAUCAUCGAAUCUUUGAACGCACAUUGCACCUCUCGGUAUUCCGGGAGGUAUGCCUGUUCGAGCGUCAUUUGUACCCUCAAGCUCUGCUUGGUGUUGGGUGUUUGUUCCGCCUCUGUGUGUGAACUCGCCUCAAAACAAUUGGCAGCCGGCGUACUUGUUUCGGAGCGCAGCACAUUUUGCGAUCCAGAUCAACGUACAGCGGCAUCCAAGAAGCCUUAUUUAACGCUCUUGACCUCGGAUCAGGUAGGGAUACCCGCUGAACUUAAGCAUAUCAAUAACGGAGGA